AAAACAGCUUCUUCCCUAGGUUGUGAGACUCCUGAACACCCUGCCAUCAGCGUUCUCACCAGGGAGAAUAAUGUGGAGAAGGAAGAAACGAACAAGAGCAGCAAGAGAAAGUACAAAUGAUGAAGUAGGGUGCCGUGCACAAUCCUGAUUUGAUGGAGACAGACAUGAGAGCACCGAGGAACAUCUGGUGAAACUUCUGAAAUGCCUGCCUCGCUGCCGCUGCUACUGUGUGAUCCAAAAUCUCCGGAGGGGAAGGCUCUGAGUCCUCGGCUUUGCUUAUUGCCUGGGGUGGGGUCGAAGCGCUCGGCAGAGAUGGUGCCUGGUGUCGGAGGGCUGGUCGGAGGCUUGAAGUUUUUGGACGGACUCGGAAUCGGCUGCGGUCGGGUGCUUCCAAUGCAUCAACAAGUUUGCGGCGCUUCCGUCUACAUGAGAUGAUGGGGCUAUCGGGACUUUGAGACUUUUUUUUACCAUGCCCAUGGUCUGCUCUUUAUCAAAUUACAGUAUUGCUUUGCACUGUUGUAACUAUGUGUUAUAAUUAUGUGGUUUUGUCAGUUUUAGUCUUGGUUUGUCCUGUGUUUCUGUGAUAUCUUUCUGGAGGGACAUUGUAUGAUUUUUUAAUGCAUG